UUUAACCCUAAAUAUGGUAACCCUCAUAUUA
rnacentral:tRNA from 1 species